rnacentral:lncRNA from 1 species
GCCUGCGCGCGCCCAAACUUGCCGGCCGCUCUCUUCUCGGCUAGCCCGGGACAGCUCCGGGGCAGGCAAGAGGGCUGAGCUUCGGAGCGACCGCCAGGGACGAGGGGCGCAGAGCGCGCGGGGCGGGGACAGCAGCGCAGACGGUCCUUUGCUUCCCUCCGGCUCCGCCGCUCCACGCAGCGUCUGAGGCUGGGGACUGCCGGGGUGAGCGCCGCACCUCAGGCCUGAGAGCCGCGGCGGCACUGGGAGGAGACCUGGAAGGAGGAGGAGCCGGCCCGGGAGGCUGCUGUGGAGCUGGAGGAGGAAGUGGGGGAGGAGAGGCGCCCUUCUACAGGGGAGAGCUCAGCGUACUUCCGUGAGUGCAGUCGCCGCCUGUCCCGAGACCUGGGCGUCUGUGCAGGGGCCCCCAGCUCCUGAGCCUGGGUCAGCGGCAGCGCUCCUGGACGAAGGCCUCAGGCUGAGCACCUGAGGAGGCGUGGGGGCGGGGGCGGGGAGAUACGGUCCAGCGUCCCAAUCUACCCGCGUCCACGGGAGUAGCAAGGGCACCCACGUUCCCUUGUCCCGCCGGGAACUUCCGUGCGACUGUUGUUUAAAAAUGAGGAAAGCUUUUUAUCAGUUUCUCGUGUUUCUGCUGCUUAGCCUGGCAGGCUCUCACGAACGAAACCCUGUUAAUUAAUGGUCGUUAAUUACACUCCAUUCCACAAACACUGAACUUAAUUACGGAUUUCCAGAAAGCCAGCAUAGCCUCUUGCAAGUGAGGUAUGUAAAGCUUAACUUAGUAGUCAAAGAAAGGAUUCGCAGGGCAAAGAAUUGGCAGUGAUCGUUUUAAAUCAAGUCAGAAUAAUCGAAGCCUUAUUCCCAGUUUGUUAGCUGCGGUUGUAUGAUUUAGAAACACUGAUUUGUUGAUUUAGGAUGUUUGGAUAGACAUAAUUUCAGAGCUGGAAGAAGGACCGCACACCGGUGAAAUAAGGCCCCGCGUGCUUGUUUGCCACUGGUGUGUUUCAUCAAGCCUUGACAACACUGGACUGAGAGAGAGGGCCUUGAGGACAGGAACCUUGACCUUUUUCUUAGUGUUCUUAUUUCUAGCACCUUGCCAAGCAGAUAGUAGUCGAUCAAUAAAAUGUCCAAUCAGUGAAUGAAUAGCAGACGAAAUGAGCAAAGUGCCCAGAGAAGUGACUCUUCCAUAUUUCAAGUGUUUCAUGUGCUACAGAAUCUGUUGAACAAGGUGAAGUUUAAGUGCAUUGUGUGGACUUACAACUUACAAGUAAGUACUGGAACAGUAAUUUCUGUUUUCCCAAAGUAACUAUUAAAACUCAAUCAUAAUAUACAUUAAUAACUAUCAAAUAAUCCUGUGAAAGGAUAUGUAUAUAAAUGAAAGUGAAAUGCCUAAUUCGAAUUUGUAAUAUUUAUUGGACCAGGUCCAGGUGCUCAUGCUGGCAAUCUCAGCACUUUGGGAGACUGAGGCAGGAGGAUUGCUUGAGACCGGGAGUUCCAGGGGAACAUAGGGAGACCUCAUCUCUACAAAAAUUUAAAAAUUAGCUGGGAGUGUGGUGCAUGCCUGUAGUCCCAGCUAUGCCGGAGGCUAAGGCAGGUAGAUAGAUCGCUUAGGCUCAGGAGUUCCAGGUUAUGAUAAGUCAUGAGCCUGCCACUGCACUCCAGCCUGAGUGACAGAACAAGACCCUGUGUUUAAAAAAAAAAAAGGCCGGGCGAGGUGGCUCAUGCCUGUAGUCCUAGCACUUUGGGAGGCUGAGGCCGGCAAAUUGCCUGAGCUCGGGAGUUCGAGACCAGCCUGGGCAACACAGUGAAAUCCCGUCUCUACUAAAAUACAAAAAAUUAGCCGGGCGUGGCGGCAUGCGCCUGCAGUCCCAGCUACUCAGGAGGCUGAGGCAGGAGAAUUGCUUGAACCCGGAAGGCGGAGGCUGCAGUAAGCUGAGAUGGUGCCACUGCACUCCAGCCUGGGCCACAGAGUGAGACUCCAUCUC